rnacentral:rRNA from 1 species
GGGGGCUGCUCCUAGUACGAGAGGACCGGAGUGGACGCAUCACUGGUGUUCGGGUUGUCAUGCCAAUGGCACUGCCCGGUAGCUAAAUGCGGAAGAGAUAAGUGCUGAAAGCAUCUAAGCACGAAACUUGCCCCGAGAUGAGUUCUCCCUGACCCUUUAAGGGUCCUGAAGGAACGUUGAAGACGACGACGUUGAUAGGUCGGGUGUGUAAGCGCAGCGAUGCGUUGAGCUAACCGAUACUAAUGAACCGUGAGGCUUAACCUU